rnacentral:rRNA from 1 species
UACAGAGGGGGCAAGCGUUGUUCGGAAUUACUGGGCGUAAAGGGCGCGUAGGCGGCCUGUUAAGUCGAACGUGAAAUCCCCGGGCUUAACCUGGGAAUGGCGAUGGAGACUGCGAGGCUAGAGUUUGGCAGAGGGGGGUAGAAUUCCACGUGUAGCAGUGAAAUGCGUAGAGAUGUGGAGGAACACCGAUGGCGAAGGCAGCCCCCUGGGUCAAAACUGACGCUCAUGCACGAAAGCGUGGGGAGCAAACAGG